rnacentral:rRNA from 1 species
CCUACGGGGGGCAGCAGUGGGGAAUAUUGCGCAAUGGGGGAAACCCUGACGCAGCGACGCCGCGUGAGUGAAGAAGUAUUUCGGGACGUAAAGCUCUAUCAGCAGGGAAGAAAAUGACGGUACCUGCCUAAGAAUCCCCGGCUAACUACGUGCCAGCAGCCGCGGUAAUACGUAGGGGGCAAGCGUUAUCCGGAUUUACUGGGUGUAAAGGGAGCGUAGACGGCAGUGCAAGUCGGGAGUGAAAUCCCAUGGCUUAACCAUGGAACUGCUUUGGAAACUGUGCAGCUUGAGUGCAGGAGAGGUAAGCGGAAUUCCGAGUGUAGCGGUGAAAUGCGUAGAUAUUAGGAGGAACACCAGUGGCGAAGGCGGCUUACUGGACUGUAACUGACGUUGAGGCGCGAAAGCGUGGGGAGCAAACAGGAUUAGAUACCCUUGUAGUC